CAUGUCGAACGGGCAGCACCGGACAGGAUACCGGGCGCAUCUAGGAAGAGUGCCCUCGAAAAAUCUAUCUGUGAUUAUGCAGAAAAGUUUGGGGAUGAGGUCGUCGAUCCUUGCCUGGCAACAAUGUUCUAUUCACUCGGUGAUGCUUAUGAUUUCUUCAAAUUGUACUUGUGGGAGCAUGGUUUCAGAAUUAGGUGUGGAAAGAGCCACCUGAGUGUAGAGAAAUCAAAAUGAAUGCAGGAAAUUGUGUGCGGAUGCUCGGGCAAACCGUCAUCGGAGAACACUAAAUUAUGCCGAGGCGAAUGCCCUGCAAUGAUCGGGUUGCUUGAAACAGCGGACAAUGGAAGGUACAUAAUUGAGCAGGGAGUGAAACAUAACCACACAAUGGCUGAAAAUUGAGCAUAAAAAGUCUUCUGGCCUUCACACAAGUACAUAAAUGUGUACACAAGAGAUCUAGUCCGCCAGCUAAGGGAAAACAACAUAAAUGUUGUAAAAGCAUACAACAUAAUUGCAGCAUUCUUUGGGAAUGAAGGGGAUUUGGUGUUCGCAAAACGGUCACUUCAAGUUUGGGAACUAAGGAGCAGGCAAACGACGAUGUCUGAAAACCGUCGAGGCAUUCGAUGAACUAGGAGCUAAGGACCCAGACUUCAUGUUUAGGGUGCAAACAGAUGAUAAAGUUCGAAUCAAGAAUCUUAUGUGGACCACAGGGGCAAUGCAAUACAAGUUCUUUUGGUAUGCUAUAACUUUCGACAUUACAUACAAGACCAACUUGAAUGACAUGGCAUUUGGUUUGUUUGUGAGGGGUAAAUAACCACUUCAAAGAGCAUUUGGCUGGUGUCAUUUUUGUGAGGGGUAAAUAACCACUUCAAAGAGCAUUUGGCUGGUGUCAUGUUCCGGGACGAUCAGGUUGAGAACUUUGAAAUGGGUUUUUGCAAAGUUUGUCUGAAUGAUGGGGGAGGAGUUCCACCUAAAACAAUAGUAACUUGUAAGUUGAUGUCUGAAAACAUUUUUCUUUUUUGCUACGGGGAAGAAGAUGUGUCCGAGAUGAUCUGGGAGGAGUCGGCUAAAUUAAUGGCAAUAGGCAAUACUAGUGGUCCAGGGACCAAGCACUGUUCAAAAAGAGAGAUACGAAGGGGAUACGUUGUUGUAUACACUGACAAAUGGAGCAGCCGGCAGAA